rnacentral:lncRNA from 1 species
ACACUUCUAAACACUUUUCAUGCAUCUCUAGCACUUUUAAAUAAUCAUAUUUAUUUUAUUCUAACAUAUUCUAACUAACCCCAAACCACACUAGAUAAGUCAUUUAUUGGUUCAACUCAAUGUUUCCGAGUUCUUAGCCCAUUUGGGACCAAAUUUCAACAAGUCUUUCUCCACACUUUUAAACACUCUUCAUGCAUCUCUAGUACUUGUAAUCAAUCAAAUUUCUUGUAUCCUACCAUAUUAUAACCAGAAACAACACUAGAUAAGUCAUUUCGUGGUUCAAUGCAAUGUUUACGAGUUCUUAGCCCUUUGGGACCCAGUUUUAACAAGUCUUUCUCCACAUUUCAAUACACUCUUCAUGCAUGUCUAGCACUUGUAAUCAAUCAAAUUUAUUGUAUCCUAACAUAUUAUCACCAGAAACAACACUAGAUAAGUCAUUUCGUGGUUCAAUGCAAUGUUUCCGAGUUCUUAGCCCAUUUGGGACCCAAUUGCAACAAGUCUUUCUCCAC